GCUGGUGUAGCACAAUCGGUAGUGCGUCCGCCUUGUAAGCGGAAGGUUGCAGGUUCGAUUCCUGUCGCCAGCCCCA
rnacentral:tRNA from 1 species